rnacentral:rRNA from 1 species
GACGAACGCUGGCGGCGUGCUUAACACAUGCAAGUCGAGCGAGGCCCACCCCUCGGGGUGGUGUCCUAGCGGCGAACGGGUGAGUAACACGUGGGCAACCUGCCCCCGGCUCGGGGAUAACCCCAAGAAAUUGGGGCUAAUACCGGAUAUGACCGCUGACCGCAUGGUCUGGUGGUGGAAAGAUUUAUCGGCUGGGGAUGGGCCCGCGGCCUAUCAGCUUGGUGGUGGGGUAGUGGCCUACCCAGGCGACGACGGGUAGCCGGCCUGAGAGGGUGACCGGCCACACUGGGACUGAGACACGGCCCAGACUCCUACGGGAGGCAGCAGUGGGGAAUAUUGCGCAAUGGGCGGAAGCCUGACGCAGCGACGCCGCGUGGGGGAUGACGGCCUUCGGGUUGUAAACCUCUUUCAGCAGGGACGAAGCCCGCAAGGGUGACGGUACCUGCAGAAGAAGCACCGGCCAACUACGUGCCAGCAGCCGCCGUAAAAC